rnacentral:rRNA from 1 species
AAAACAACUCUCGGCAACGGAUAUCUCGGCUCUCGCAUCGAUGAAGAACGUAGCAAAAUGCAAUACUUGGUGUGAAUUGCAGAAUGCCGUGAAC